GACGAACGCUGGCGGCGUGCUUAACACAUGCAAGUCGAACGGAAAGGCCCUGCUUUUGUGGGGUGCUCGAGUGGCGAACGGGUGAGUAACACGUGAGUAACCUGCCCUUGACUUUGGGAUAACUUCAGGAAACUGGGGCUAAUACCGGAUAGGAGCUCCUGCUGCAUGAUGGGGGUUGGAAAGUUUCGGCGGUUGGGGAUGGACUCGCGGCUUAUCAGCUUGUUGGUGGGGUAGUGGCUUACCAAGGCUUUGACGGGUAGCCGGCCUGAGAGGGUGACCGGCCACAUUGGGACUGAGAUACGGCCCAGACUCCUACGGGAGGCAGCAGUGGGAAAUAUUGCACAAUGGGCGGAAGCCUGAUGCAGCAACGCCGCGUGCGGGAUGACGGCCUUCGGGUUGUAAACCGCUUUCGCCUGUGACGAAGCGUGAGUGACGGUAAUGGGUAAAGAAGCACCGGCUAACUACGUG
rnacentral:rRNA from 1 species